GGGGAAGUAUUCUAGCACCGCCUGGGGAGGCAGCAGGAGUGUGGGUUUUGGAGACACACAAACCAGGGUUCGAUUCCCUGCUUCGCCA
rnacentral:tRNA from 1 species